AGAUGUCUAUAAGAGAGAGUUUUACUGAAUUUGCAUGGUGAUUAUUUAGCUCUCAAUGCAGACAUAGUCCUCGUUCUUACCCUCUCGUCGCUCUUCUCCAUGUGAUCCCUAACCAGUCUGUCCCCAACACUUUCUCCAGAACUUGUCAGCCUUGCUUGCCUUCUGCCUCUGUUUCUUUCUCCUGGGCCCCCACUGUCCCUUGCACUGGUU